UAGUUUAAAUGCAUAUAUUUGCCAAACAUAUAAAUUUUUCAAGAUAAAGAGACAAAUUCACCAUCUCAACAAAUCAUAAAUAUUCACUCCAAACCAUAAAUAUUCAAACUUUGUGCCAGUCAAAUCCACCUCAUCGAACUAAAACAUAACCACUGAAAGAAGAAUAUCAAAUACUAAUGUUGCGAAGCAAUUAAUACAUACCAUUAAUCUAAAAAGGAAACAAACCAGAACAAACUCACC
rnacentral:lncRNA from 1 species